rnacentral:rRNA from 1 species
UACAGAGGGGGCAAGCGUUGCUCGGAAUUACUGGGCGUAAAGGGCGCGUAGGCGGUCUGGCAAGUCGGUCGUGAAAUCCUUCGGCUCAACCGAAGAACGUCGAUCGAAACUGCCGUUCUUGAGGAUUGCAGAGGAGACUGGAAUUCCCGGUGUAGCGGUGAAAUGUGUAGAGAUCGGGAGGAACACCGGUGGCGAAGGCGGGUCUCUGGGCAAUUCCUGACGCUGAGGCGCGAAAGCUAGGGGAGCGAACGGG